rnacentral:tRNA from 1 species
AAUAAAGUGCCUGAUUAAAGGAUUAUCUUGAUAGGAUAAAUAAUGUAUAUUAUUAUACCUUUAUUA